UGGGGAAUAUUGGACAAUGGGCGAAAGCCUGAUCCAGCAAUGCCGCGUGUGCGAUGAAGGCCUGCGGGUUGUAAAGCACUUUCGGUAGGGAAGAAAUGCUCAAAAAUAAUAAAUUUGAGAGCUGACAUUACCUACAGAAGAAGCACCGGCAAACUCUGUGCCAGCAGCCGCGGUAAUACAGAGGGUGCAAGCGUUAAUCGGAGUUACUGGGCGUAAAGGGCGCGUAGGCGGAUAUUUAAGUCGGAUGUGAAAUCCCUGGGCUCAACCUAGGAAUUGCAUUCGAUACUGAAUGACUAGAGUAUGGUAGAGGAAAGUGGAAUUCUCGGUGUAGUGGUAAAAUACGUAGAUAUCGAGAAGAACACCGGUGGCGAAGGCGGCUUUCUGGACCAAUACUGACGCUGAGGCGCGAAAGCGUGGGGAGCAAACAGG
rnacentral:rRNA from 1 species